AACGAACGCUGGCGGCGUGGAUAAGACAUGCAAGUCGAACGAGAGAAUUGCUAGCUUGCUAAUAAUUCUCUAGUGGCGCACGGGUGAGUAACACGUGGGUAACCUGCCCCCGAGAGCGGGAUAGCCCUGGGAAACUGGGAUUAAUACCGCAUAGUAUCGAAAGAUUAAAGCAGCAAUGCGCUUGGGGAUGGGCUCGCGGCCUAUUAGUUAGUUGGUGAGGUAACGGCUCACCAAGGCGAUGACGGGUAGCCGGUCUGAGAGGAUGUCCGGCCACACUGGAACUGAGACACGGUCCAGACACCUACGGGUGGCAGCAGUCGAGAAUCAUUCACAAUGGGGGAAACCCUGAUGGUGCGACGCCGCGUGGGGGAAUGAAGGUCUUCGGAUUGUAAACCCCUGUCAUGUGGGAGCAAAUUAAAAAGAUAGUACCACAAGAGGAAGAGACGGCUAACUCUGUGCCAGCAGCCGCGGUAAUACAGAGGUCUCAAGCGUUGUUCGGAAUCACUGGGCGUAAAGCGUGCGUAGGCUGUUUCGUAAGUCGUGUGUGAAAGGCGCGGGCUCAACCCGCGGACGGCACAUGAUACUGCGAGACUAGAGUAAUGGAGGGGGAACCGGAAUUCUCGGUGUAGCAGUGAAAUGCGUAGAUAUCGAGAGGAACACUCGUGGCGAAGGCGGGUUCCUGGACAUUAACUGACGCUGAGGCACGAAGGCCAGGGGAGCGAAAGGGAUUAGAUACCCCUGUAGUCCUGGCAGUAAACGGUGCACGCUUGGUGUGCGGGGAAUCGACCCCCUGCGUGCCGGAGCUAACGCGUUAAGCGUGCCGCCUGGGGAGUACGGUCGCAAGAUUAAAACUCAAAGAAAUUGACGGGGACCCGCACAAGCGGUGGAGUAUGUGGCUUAAUUCGAUGCAACGCGAAGAACCUUACCUGGGCUUGACAUGUAAUGAACAACAUGUGAAAGCAUGCGACUCUUCGGAGGCGUUACACAGGUGCUGCAUGGCCGUCGUCAGCUCGUGUCGUGAGAUGUUUGGUUAAGUCCAGCAACGAGCGCAACCCCUGUUGCCAGUUACCAGCACGUGAAGGUGGGGACUCUGGCGAGACUGCCCAGAUCAACUGGGAGGAAGGUGGGGACGACGUCAGGUCAGUAUGGCCCUUAUGCCCAGGGCUGCACACGUACUACAAUGCCCAGUACAGAGGGGGCCGAAGCCGCGAGGCGGAGGAAAUCCUAAAAACUGGGCCCAGUUCGGACUGUAGGCUGCAACCCGCCUACACGAAGCCGGAAUCGCUAGUAAUGGCGCAUCAGCUACGGCGCCGUGAAUACGUUCCCGGGUCU
rnacentral:rRNA from 1 species